rnacentral:rRNA from 1 species
GAUGAACGCUGGCGGCGUGCCUAAUACAUGCAAGUCGAGCGAACGGACGAGAAGCUUGCUUUUCUGAUGUUAGCGGCGGACGGGUGAGUAACACGUGGAUAACCUACCUAUAAGACUGGGAUAACUUCGGGAAACCGGAGCUAAUACCGGAUAAUAUUUUGAACCGCAUGGUUCAAAAGUGAAAGACGGUCUUGCUGUCACUUAUAGAUGGAUCCGCGCUGCAUUAGCUAGUUGGUAAGGUAACGGCUUACCAAGGCAACGAUGCAUAGCCGACCUGAGAGGGUGAUCGGCCACACUGGAACUGAGACACGGUCCAGACUCCUACGGGAGGCAGCAGUAGGUAAUCUUCCGCAAUGGGCGAAAGCCUGACGGAGCAACGCCGCGUGAGUGAUGAAGGUCUUCGCAUCGUAAAACUCUGUUAUUAGGGAAGAACAUAUGUGUAAGUAACUGUGCACAUCUUGACGGUACCUAAUCAGAAAGCCACGGCUAACUACGUG